UUCUUCCUUCUCUUUUCUGGCCCAAGGCCCCCGUACCGGUUCGGCCUUCUCUGUUUCUCCUUCCCUUCCUCGUCAUCGAUAGACAGCGACAGUAGGAGAUGUCCCUACACGCCCACGCUCCCCGCGUGAGAUCUCCCCCUCCUACUUUUUAUCCUGGACCACGCCUCGUCCUCCUUCCUAUCCUCCCAAACCACUCUGCUUCUCUCGCACGUCUCUCACCCCUCCAUCUUUUCUUCUACCUCACGAAAGGAAACCGACACAGAAGAAAACCCCACAGCAACCACCAACCUCACCAUGGCGCCGCCGCUCUACUGCGUCCCCUGCCGUUCCGAGGGCACCGGCGGAUGCGCCUCGCCGCCCUCUCCAUCCUCCUGCAAGGAAUCGACCUGCGGUGCCUCAUAUCGUCUCCACGUUCGCCGUUCCCCCGCCAUGCCCGGCGCGCUUCGGCGAGAAAUCCGUCGCCGUCCGACCUCCUCCGGCCUCACCAACUCCUCCACGUCCUUCCUGGUGCUCGUCGCCGGCCAUCCUCCGGUGGUUCCCCGGUGCCCGGACCACCACCAACAGACUCACCUUGAUCCCCUGCAGCGAAUGCGCCAUCUCGCGCGUCCCGUCUCGCCUUAAAUCGUCGGAAUUCGUGGUCGUUUGGAUCUCAGACCGCCAUGGCCGAGCUGCCUAAGCUCCGCUUCAUCUGCCCUGUUCCGUACAACAAUCGAUCAGUAGCGUAGUGAUCGGGCGCUUGAUGGGUCUUGGCCAAGUUUCUCCGACGCAGCCCAUCGCCCGCGCGGCCCAGUUUUUCCCGUCGCCGAUGCAGACCAAAUCCGGCCCAGGACAGCGCAGCAUUUGCUUCUUCCCGGAUAGGAUCACGAAGUGUUGAUGUGAGAUACGACGAGUUCUCCGACAAGUUCUUCUGCAGCUUUUCUCAGGCGAGCCCUCUCUCUUCACCUAUUUUACUCUCUCCCUCGCACUGCUAUCCUUAUGUUGCGAUUCCUUAUCGAGUCACGUGUCCUAUUCCACUUGUUUACCAUAAUAAUCCUAUAUGCACCAUUCCUUACCCAUAGUCGUUGCUUGAUGUUUGAGCCUUGCGAGUCGUAGGCGUAUUUAGGCUCUGUUGUUUAUCUCGAUCUGUUAUCGGGAUAUGUUGGGUUGUUGGGAGGUUAUUACAUGCUAUAUCAGUUGUUGGAGAUACACAUGCUUUACUUAAUUGUUAACAACUAAAAUUGUAAGCAGAGGCAUCUAUGAGCCCCUUUGCGAAAGCAUCGGAACUUUGACUCACUAAUGUCCCCUAGGACCCGAGUUCUUGUUAUCUGUUCCGAGACUGAGCGCUCUAUCCACACGUGGGUAUGCUUACCGGGUCUCCCCUCGACCACUGCCGGAAUCUACAGCUUUCUCCAGUGGCCACAACUAGUUUGAAUGUUUGUUUGUUUCUCUCGGGCGUGCAAGCAUGUUUCUUUGUGGUCAGAUGAUAUGAUGUUACUUUUGGGGAAGCCAUGUGUGCCUUGUAUCCCCGUUGUCUCUUGCACGUCCGUAGGUGCGACACGUAUUGUUAAGUGGUCAUCCUCUAGUGGGCUCCGAUCCUCUUAGCCGUUCUCGCAACAGCUAGGUCCGCGUCGGAGUUCCGAUCGGGCUCUGAAACGGAUUUAACCUAGAUAGGUGGCUUCCUGGACAUUGUUGUCGUGAAGGAGAGUGCGUGUCGUGAUAUCCACAUGUCGCAAGUGGGUUGAGCGUGCGUGUGUGCACAUUUGGGCACCCCUCCAGGGUUACAAUCUUAUCGAUAAGCCGUGUCCGCAGUUAUGGAUGACUUGGAAUUGUAUAGCUUGAUCAUAGAACAACUUACACCUUAUACUUGUUGUUAAUAAUCUGAUAAUAACUUGCAUAGUAAUAUAGCACCACUACAACCGAUACCUAAUAAAACUUGUCCACCGUUGAGUGCCUUUUACAUUGCUUCUUCGCAAUUGUUGAAGGGGAUAUGUGUAAUCGGCUAGGUUAUGAUUGUGUAGUAUUUUAUCUUUUACCUUGUGCGCUCUCUUAUCUUCUCUGAUUAGACGGAUGUUGUAGCGUGUCUCUAUUGGUUAUAGUUUUGCUGCCGCUAAACCUACUAUAUAGCCCCAGGCGUUAUAUAUUUAUACUCGCCCGGCGAGCAUAGCCAUUUCUAGUCUCGCUAAGUACGUGCCGGAGUUCGUUCCUUGGUACUUACUCUCGCCUUUUCCCUUUCUCUUUUGCUUCCUCCC